GACGAACGCUGGCGGCGUGCUUAACACAUGCAAGUCGAGCGGUAAGGCCCUUUCGGGGGUACACGAGCGGCGAACGGGUGAGUAACGCGUGGGAAUCUCCCCAGAGGUACGGAACAACUCAGGGAAACUUGAGCCUAAUACCGUAUGUGCCCGAGAGGGCAAAGAUUCAUCGCCUUUGGAUGAGCCCGCGUUGGAUUAGCUAGUUGGUGGGGUAACGCCUACCAAGGCUACGAUCCAUAGCUGAUCUGAGAGGAUGAUCAGCCACACUGGGACUGAGACACGGCCCAGACUCCUACGGGGAGGCA
rnacentral:rRNA from 1 species